AGGUUAAGUUAUUAAGGGCGCACGGCGAAUGCCUUGGCACUAGGAGCCGAAGAAGGACGGCACUA
rnacentral:rRNA from 1 species